GAUGAACGCUGGCGGCGUGCUUACCUUUUGCAAGUCAAACGAUGAACCCCAGCUUGCUGGGUGGAUUAGUGGCGAACGGGUGAGUAACACGUGAGUAACCUGCCCUUAACUCUGGGAUAAGCCUGGGAAACUGGGUCUAAUACCGGAUAGGAGCGUCCACCGCAUGGGGGGUGUUGGAAAGAUUUAUCGGUUUUGGAUGGACUCGCGGCCUAUCACCUUGUUGGUGAGGUAAUGGCUCACCAAGGCAACAACGGGUAGCCGGCCUGAGAGGGUGACCGGCCACACUGGGACUGAGACACGGCCCAAACUCCUACGGGAGGCAGCAGUGGGGAAUAUUGCACAAUGGGCGAAAGCCUGAUGCACCGACCCCGCGUGAGGGAUGACGGCCUUCGGGUUGUAAACCUCUUUCAGUAGGGAAGAAGCGAAAGUGACGGUACCUGCAAAAAAAGCACCGGCUAACUACGUG
rnacentral:rRNA from 1 species